UAUUGGAAAUAAACAACAAUCUUGAUCGAAGUUCGUUCGUGAAAAACACUAAUCCUGUUAUACAAGAAUAUAAGGACGAUAAAAAAAAGAACGAAACAAGUAACGUGAACAGGACAACGUCGAAAAGGCAAACGUGAACAGCAAUGUAAAUAGGGAAACGGGAACAGUAACGUGAACAGGAAAACGGGAACAGUAACGACAACGUGAGCAGGAUGGAACAGGGCAACGUGAGCGGGGCAACGUGAGCAGGGCAACGGGAACAGGACAACGGGAACAGGAUAACGGGAACAAGGGAAAAUGAAA